AUGUCCACCUCCACCGCCGUUCCUACCUCUGGCCUCAACUACAACACAUCUGAGCCUCUCACCGGGACGAACUACGUCCUCUGGCGAGCUCAAGCACGAUCCCAGAUAAUGGGCGCCGGCUUGUAUGGCUAUAUCGACAAAACCCUAGAGGAGCCUCCCAAAACCAUAGUCACCAAAGACAAAGACGGCAGGGAUCAGGUUGCCUCUAACCCUGCCUAUGCCCCCUGGCUUGUCCAGGACCAACAAAUCGUCGCCUAUAUUCUUCGAAACCUCUCCAAAGAGGUCCUUGUUCAGGUGGCGUCCAUGGAAACCUCACACGCGAUCUGGACAGCGUUAGCUAAUAUGUUCUCGGCUGUCUCCCUCUCCCGCGUCAACAACAUCCGCGCUGCCCUCACCAACGCGCAGAAGGGCACGCAAUCUGCCUCGGCGUUCUUUGGGCACAUGUGUUCCCUCUCUGAUGAGCUUGCGGCGGCGGGAAAGCCUAUCGGAGAACCGGAACUGAUCUCCUUCAUUGUUGCCGGCCUCGAACUGGAAUACCAACCACUCAUCUCCGCCCUUGAUGUUCGCGUCGAGCCCAUUACUGUCGACCACCUCUUCUCUUUGGUCGCAAAUUUUGAUCAGCGCCUCGAGAUGUAUCAUGGCAAUGGCGCUGGUGGCUUAAAGUCUUCAGCGAACGCUGCCUCCAGCGGCCGCCAGGGAGGCAACAGGGGCGGCUACCGAUCUUAG
rnacentral:rRNA from 1 species